rnacentral:lncRNA from 1 species
GAUAGACUGACGUUUCUACGUGGAGCAGAAACGUCACGGGCUCUGACGUUUCUAAAAAGGUCAGAUCCGAAAAUACUUUCAGAUUGAGUUUAUUCUGUGAAUUAUUUACGUCUUAUGGAUUAAAACAUUAAAACAGUGGAAAAAAACCGGCGUCCGGACCCUGUUUUUUUGCAAAUUAACCCUUCCGUCUUAUCCCUAAACAGGAAACGGUGGUUAUCCCAACUGCGCGGCGGCGAUGAGCUCAGCAAUCCCCAAUCGAAAUCCAUCUGUGGUCGCAGUUGCCGGCGCAUGUCCUUCCCGCGGGUCCUGACGUCGAGUCCACCGGAGUCCGCAGCCUCCGCACUGUCAGCUUACAUCACUCGUCCUGCUUUCCGCUGGUCCUGACGCCGAGCUCAUGCCAUGGAGCAGCGGCGGAGAGGAUCUGAAGGGGCGCGGGGGUCGUCGGCGUGCUGGGCGUCGAGCUCAUGCCAUGGAGCAGCGGCGCAGAGGAUCUGAAGGGGCGCGGGGGUCGUCGGCGUGCUGGGCGUCGAGCACGUACACGGAACAGAGCCGUGGCUCCUGCUGGUUCCUUGGUCGCUCGGGAGCUGCUGCUGGUUCCUUGGUCGCUCGGGAGCUCGUGUGCGUGCAAACUGCAAGCUAUGGACUGGGAUGUGCUUAGCGUGAGCGCCGGUGUGCCUGCGUGAGGGCAGGAAAUUGGCCGCUUGCUACAACUCUGAAUUUUCUUUGUUCUCGUGUGAUGUGUGUAUCCUGUACUUGUUGAUUAGCCUUCUGAGUAGCUAAUCGAUUGCAGUUUUCUGUUUGCUCAGCAUUCGUGUAGCUUGGAGUUUACAAAGUGAAUGUAUUAUUGAUUGUAGAAAGUACAGAAUGUAAAUUGUUGUGGAUGGAAAUUUGUAAGUUCCUAUUAUCUUAAAUUGUUGUACAACUGAGAACAACUUAAAGACAAUUAUUUUUCAUCCUCUGCUUCAAUUCAUAGCAUCAGGCUUAAAAUGAUUCAUUUGAGAUCAUUUUUGCUAGACUGCUC